GGAAUGUAGACUGUGGCAGAAAUUAAUGAGAAAAGUGAGCUAUCAGGAAGAAAUACCGGGUGAAGACAUUGUUUUCUUCCACAAUUUGGUGCCGUGACUCGGAUGGCAACGCCAGGCUGAGACAGCGACAAACUACUAUGGACUGUUGCCCUGAGAACCCCAUGGCGCCAUAAUAGAGAUGUGUUGAAGAUGAAAAAGAAAGAAAACUGAAGAAAGUAAAGAAAAUUUGCC